AUCCAGAUGACGAAUCCCAAAUAGGACGAAACACGCGUCCUGGAU
rnacentral:hammerhead_ribozyme from 1 species